rnacentral:rRNA from 1 species
UACGAAGGGGGCUAGCGUUGCUCGGAAUCACUGGGCGUAAAGCGCACGUAGGCGGCUUUUUAAGUCAGGGGUGAAAUCCUGGAGCUCAACUCCAGAACUGCCUUUGAUACUGAGAAGCUUGAGUCCGGGAGAGGGAUGCGGAAUUCCAGGUGUAGCGGUGAAAUGCGUAGAUAUCUGGAGGAACACCGGUGGCGAAGGCGCCAUCCUGGACCGGUAUUGACGCUGAGGCGCGAAAGCCAGGGGAGCAAACGGG